UAGGGAAUCUUCGGCAAUGGACGAAAGUCUGACCGAGCAACGCCGCGUGAGUGAAGAAGGUUUUCGGAUCGUAAAACUCUGUUGUUAGAGAAGAACAAGGACGUUAGUAACUGAACGUCCCCUGACGGUAUCUAACCAGAAAGCCACGGCUAACUACGUGCCAGCAGCCGCGGUAAUACGUAGGUGGCAAGCGUUGUCCGGAUUUAUUGGGCGUAAAGCGAGCGCAGGCGGUUUCUUAAGUCUGAUGUGAAAGCCCCCGGCUCAACCGGGGAGGGUCAUUGGAAACUGGGAGACUUGAGUGCAGAAGAGGAGAGUGGAAUUCCAUGUGUAGAGGUAAAAUGCGUAAAUAUAUGGAGGAACACCAGUGGCGAAGGCGGCUCUCUGGUCUGUAACUAACGCUGAGGCUCGAAAGCGUGGGGAGCAAACAGG
rnacentral:rRNA from 1 species